ACUGUGGUGUUUAGAUAACUUUUUCUUAACUGCUUUCAUGCUUCGACAGACCGCUGAUUCGUUUUUACAAAUUGGGAAUAUGAUGAAGCACUGUGGUUACAGCAAAAAAUGCAAAUUGGACAAAUGUACGGAUUCCUUCUCUGUCUCUUCCCCACCCUUGCAACUUGUUUGCUGAAGAUCUUGAACUGCCUUGUAGAGAACCCCACUGUCUUGCAUUGGCUGCUUGCUCCUCUGCUCUCAGAGUUUC
rnacentral:lncRNA from 1 species